CACGUAGGCACCAAGCGUUGUCCGGAUUUAUUGGGCGUAAAGAGCUCGUAGGCGGUUCAGUAAGUCGGGUGUGAAAACUUUGGGCUUAACCCAAAGCGUGCAUCCGAUACUGCUGUGACUUGAGUUCGGUAGGGGAGUGGGGAAUUCCUAGUGUAGCGGUGAAAUGCGCAGAUAUUAGGAGGAACACCGGUGGCGAAGGCGCCACUCUGGGCCGAAACUGACGCUGAGGAGCGAAAAGCAUGGGUAGCAAACAGG
rnacentral:rRNA from 1 species